GGGUGUGUAGCUCAGAGGGAGAGCGCUUCCCUCACACGGAAGAGGCCACAGGUUCGAUCCCUGUCACACCCACCA
rnacentral:tRNA from 2 species